UAUAACCGGCGAUGUCCGAAUGGGGAAACCCAGUGUGACUCGUCACACUAUCAUUAACUGAAUCCAUAGGUUAAUGAGGCGAACCGGGGGAACUGAAACAUCUAAGUACCCCGAGGAAAAGAAAUCAACCGAGAUUCCCCCAGUAGCGGCGAGCGAACGGGGAGGAGCCCAGAGCCUGAAUCAGCAUGUGUGUUAGUGGAAGCGUCUGGAAAGGCGCGCGAUACAGGGUGACAGCCCCGUACACAAAAGCGCAUGUGCUGUGAGCUCGAUGAGUAGGGCGGGACACGUGGUAUCCUGUCUGAAUAUGGGGGGACCAUCCUCCAAGGCUAAAUACUCCUGACUGACCGAUAGUGAACCAGUACCGUGAGGGAAAGGCGAAAAGAACCCCGGCGAGGGGAGUGAAACAGAACCUGAAACCGU
rnacentral:rRNA from 1 species